AAAAAUUAGUGGCAGACGGGUGAGUAAUGCAUAGGAAUCUACCUAGUAGUAUGGGAUAGCCACUAGAAAUGGUGGGUAAUACUGUAUAAUCCCUGCGGGGGAAAGAUUUAUCGCUAUUAGAUGAGCCUAUGUUAGAUUAGCUAGUUGGUAGGGUAAAGGCCUACCAAGGCAGUGAUCUAUAGCUGGUCUGAGAGGAUGAUCAGCCACACUGGAACUGAGAUACGGUCCAGACUCCUACGGGAGGCAGCAGUGGGGAAUAUUGGACAAUGGGCGCAAGCCUGAUCCAGCUAUGCCGCGUGAGUGAGGAAGGCCUUAGGGUUGUAAAACUCUUUCAGUGGGGAAGAUAAU
rnacentral:rRNA from 1 species